AGGCUCCGGGCUCCGAGCUGGCAGCACGGAGCCUGACGUGGGGCUGGAACUCGUGAACCGCGAGACCGUGACCUGAGCCGAAGUCGGACGCUUAACCGACUGAGCCAGCCAGGUGGCCCCCCGCUCCCAACAGCUUUUCAGUAUAAGGUUUCAUCCUGAUGCCUCUCCCCACAUCUUCCCAAUCCACUGGGAGGUCCACAGGCUCAACAUCCAUAUGUACUCCCAAUCCAACUACCACUCCAUCUCUGUCAUGACUAACAAACAAUCUCUGGAUUUCUAAUGGAUUAUUACAACAGUCUUGUAAUUUAUUCUAUUUCCACCCUUGUCCGUUCUCAUGGCAACGAGAAUGGUACUUCCAAACUACAAGUUAGAUUAAGUCAGCCAUGUGUCAGCAUACAUUUGCUUCACAUCCCACUUAGAUAAAAUAUCUACUUAUUGCUUGGUGCCCCAUCUGGAACAUAAGCUCCACGACAAGAGAAUUUUGUUUCAUUCACUGCUAUCCUGGGAUCUAGAACAGUACCUGGCUCAUGGUAGAAAAGCAGCAAAUGUAGGUUGAGUAACUGAACGAAUGCAUUUGUGGGUGGGUAGGGGGUCAGCGUAAGGGCCAUUUUAACCAUGGAACUCAAAAGUAAAGGUGGCGUACUAACUUUGGUGGAGAGUUUGAAGACCAGAGAUUCUGAGCCUUGAAGGUCAACAAAGUUAAGGGAAAAUGUGAACCAGCUAGAAUCAUAUCUUCCUGACAGAAAGGUCAAGGAUUUGUGUUUAUAUAGUCCGGUGAUCAAAACCAAGGAAGAGACGUGAAGGCAUGGUUCAUGAAAUUAAUGUCUUUGCUAACACAUGUAAUUUCCUUAAAAGAAACAAUCUUUUCAUUAGUACCAAGAGUGGGAACGACAUGCUAUACCGAUGAGGAGAAAACUUACUAAGAGUCCUAAAUUCCGCCGGUGGGAUCCAAAGGAGCCAGGGAAGUCAAGGAAAGGAGGCUUGAUUCUGGACCUGAGCUCCUGGAAAUCACAUCUUGUAACAACCAUGGAAUAGUUGAAAAUCCCACCUGUUCAUCCAGGUUGGAAGUUUUAGACAUUCCUCUACUAUCAACCAGAGUGUGGUAGAGGGUGAGGUGGAAAAGGACACAGAGGGGAUGGGAGAAGAAGCCUCAAAAACGGACAAGACACGCGGCGGUCGCGAGACUCAAAGUUUGCGCACGGCCUCCACAUUCCCAGGGAUAAACAGGCUCUGCUCCGGGCCGAGGUUGGACUUGAGGUGGCAGAGGGACACUCGCAGGCCCCGGGAGGGUUCACGGAGCCAGCUGUGACACACCCCCUUUUCAGCCACCCAACUCUUCCAGGGAGGGGGCCUGGAAGGCGUGGGAGGUGUUGAGCAGAAGCUACGUGGAACCGGAGAUUUUUUUUUUGUCCGUUCUACACACUGUUGUACCCCAGUACCUAGAACAGGACCUGAAACGCAUGUUCACGCACACGUAAGAGAGGAGCGGACCGGUGGCCACAAGACUCUGUCAGAACCGGUGGCAGAACGGCCAGAGCUGCUGCUGCCGAAGCCAAGGGGGCGGAGGAGGGGCAGUCGAAGCCCGAGAAAGGCCGGGACUUGGUCGCAACCCAGGAACCCCCGGGGCACAGGCAUGCUGGUCAUUCCCUCGCGGAGGCACGCUAGAAAGUUACUGCCUCGGUCAAGUCCUCCCAGGCGGCAACUGGAUAGCUGCCUGGUGGCCUCGGGGGACCGUGCACCAUCUGCACUUUUCCAGCAGAGAAAAAGAGUGGGGCCUGGCAUUCUGGAAGUUGCUCAGGGGCCCAGUCUGAUCCAGUCUCGACACUCAGCACUUCCGCAGCUCCGAACCCACUGACCGAGAUGGCCGAUUCUCUGCACUAGCUCAAGUUCCAAGGAGAACCCCCUUCAAAGGAUUUUUGCUGUAUGGCUUUCAUUAGCGCAGUCCCAAGUUUGAGACUCUUGUGACCUAGAAACAUAAAGGGAUCAGCCAAUCAAUCACCUACUUCUCAUCUUCCUGCUGACCGGCUGGUGCUUGUUUAUUGUUUGCCAUCAAAUGUAACCUAUGGCUGAGCUUUCUCAGAAGCCAAGACCACCUCUAGUCGAAUCUGCCCUCUACAAACAAGAGAUGGCACCUUCUCUUUGAACUUGUGUCAAACUGGCUCUGGCCCACCAUUCGGGUGCCCUCGAGAGUAUCUUGGAGCUUUCAGGCAAUGGAAGAGGUGUUUCUUUGUUCGGGCUCUUGCUACAGUGCCUGGGUAUAAAGCCAGAGGAGGACUAAGGCAAGGGGAACAUUCCAUGUGUCUGAGUGGGGAGGUUCAAUGGUGUCCUUCCUCUUUGGACAGGAAGGAAGCAGAACACAAGCUAGCAGCCAGGUGAUACCCUGUGGGGCCCCCACAAAAGGUACACGUCCUACCUGGUGCCAUGGUGUUCAACCUGGUGACAAAGGACUGUUCUUUAUUUGGCGAUAAGAAGGUCACGCUGCCUUACAAUUAAAUGCUGCCAGCGCGAACAUGAAUGGGACUGAUUGCCAUAGUCCAUCAACCCUUGGCAAACUGGUUUGUUUGGUCUGGACAGCAAACAACAUUCCACACUACUGGAUUUUUUUCUCCCAGAUCCCCUGCGGCCCCAUCACCCCCCAAAACCUUUUUUCAAAAAUUACAAUCUGUUCUGCUGUCUCAAGUUACAUUCUGUAAAUAAUAAGCAACACUGAUGAAAUGCAAAAAGCUGAAAAUUUGUAAAGCAGAAAGAUCUGCAAUAUGUCCCACAUCUGUGUCACAUUAAACACGCACUCAACAGA